rnacentral:ncRNA from 2 species
AUAAGUCUGUAUGACUGGCGGAAAACUGAGAAAUCAGUGGCAGGAAAACUGCAGGGAGUACAGAGUGUUAAGAGCCGGCCGCCUGGGUGAGUACG